rnacentral:lncRNA from 1 species
UUUUUUUUUUUUUUUUUUUUAAACCCUUGGGAAAUAGUAUGAAAUAAAUGGCUGCUGUCACCCGGUAGCGUCUGCCUCCCCACCACCCCGGCCCGUCCUACUGGUUCUUUUCCCUGACACCUCACGCUGGCUCCCCUCCCGGCCAGUUCCAGAAGUGUCUGGGAUUGAGCGCAAAGGAAAUGCCGCCGCACCCACAGGCACCCAGAGGCCGCUCUCGCCAUGGUGGCCCUUGUCCUCGCGGUCACGGCUCGGGCCAGACACCCUUGGUCCUUAAGCCCAGGGCCUGCCAACCACAGAUGUCUUCAAACAGAGCCUGUGAAAAGGAGCAUUGCUUCAGCUCCACUGCCACUGACAUCCUGGGAAACAGGGCCCACAAGGAAAAUAUUUUCUUAAAGUAACUCCCUGGUUUGGGGGCCUGGGGGGUGGGGGUGGGGGGAGUUACCUGCCAUGGGGAAUUUUUUUUUUUUUAAAGGAAAGCAUUUAGCCACCCCUGUAAGAGCAGCCUACGGGGAGAAGGGAAAAGAAAUGUCACCUUUUCCCUCUCCAGACCCGCCUGCAUUUGAGGUUUGGCUCAAAUACCAAGGCAGGGCCGUCCGAGAGAAAGGCGUGGUGCAGGGAGGGCCGUGUCCAGGAGUCCGGCAGCCGUCAACUUUGAAUCCCAACCCUAACCUCACCUAACUCCCGCCCGGAGUGCCGUGACUCACUUCAUCUCCCUGGCCUUGGUGGCACCAUCCAGUAAAACAUGGGGCUCCCGACUGACCUCACUGGGGAACAGGGAGGUUAGCUCAUGUUUAUAGAGCGCUUUGAAGAUGAAGAAAGCCUGUGCCUACAGGGGGCUGUUAUUAUUAUAACUACCUGUGAGAAAAGAGCAAAGCUAUUCCCAUCCAGGCCUAAUGAUCAGCUCCCAGUAGCCACAGAGCCAGAGGUGCAAGGGAGCCUGGCCCUCGUCGACAGAAACUCUCAGCUGCUUCUAGGUAGACCCAUGGCACUCAAACAGCGUUUCUUUUUUUCUUUUGUUUCCCCUCUUGUCUUUCUGUCCUUUGUAGGGCUUCGCCCACAGCAUAUUCGCCCACAGCAUAUGCAACCCACCGAGCAAGGGCAGGGAUCGAACCCAUCACCUCAUGGUUCCUAAUCCAAUUCGUUAACCACUGAGCCCAGAAAGGAACUCCUGAAACAGCGUCUCUAAAGCUCAGGAUGGAGACCUGGGUUCCUGCUGCUGCCUGGGAUGUGUGUUCGCUCUUCACCUGCUAAUUUCCCUCCAUUAUAAAGAGAAAGAAAACUUCAAACCCGGGGGCUUGGCAGACAAUAGCAUUUUUAAAUCUCAUUUAAAAAUCAUGCUUCGGAGUUCCGUCGUCGUCGUCGUGGCGCAGUGGUUAACAAAUCCGACUAGGAACCAUGAGGUUGCGGGUUCGAUUCCUGCCCUUGCUCAGUGGGUUAAGAUCCGGCGUUGCCGUGAACUGCGGUGUAGGUCACAGACGCAGCUUGGAUCCUGUGCUGCUGUGGCUGUGGUGUAGGCCAUUGGGGUCAGCUCCGAUUCAACCCCUAGCCUGCGAACCUCCAUAUGCCUCGGGUAUGGCUUUAAAAAAGAAACAAACAAACAAACAAACAAACAAACAAACAAAACAAUAGUUUCUCAACCUGGGCCUUAUUGGCAUUUCUGGCUGGAUGAUUCUUUGCAGUAGGGACUGUUCUAUGCACUGGAGGGUGUUUAGCAGAGCCCCUGGUCUUGUCUACCCACUAGAUGCCAGGAGCACACCCCCUACCCUUCCCUCCCCUCCCACAAGUGGUGACAGCCAAAAAUGUCACGGCUCAGUGUCCUCAACAUCCCCAGGGGGACAACCCCUCUUCUCUGUUGAAAACCACCGCUUUUUUAAAUCUUAAAAACAAACAAACAAACAAACAAAAAGUUAUAGAAUUAAAUAGUAAAUGUUGGUCAAAAACGAGUCCUGUUUGGGAAAGCCUGUAACGGAGAAGCAGUCCUUCUCAGCCACCUCUGCUGCUGCUCCAGAGCCACAAUUUAAAGUCCCAAGGGCAGACCCUGGUUCCAGAUCAAAUGCCAUCAUUCGGGAAGCUCCCUUAUGACAGGUGUCUCAUUUGUGCUGAUGGAUGGACAAGUGGUCCAACCAUUUCUGGAAGUCACAAACAAGAACUUCUAGAAACCAUUUUCUUUCUUUCUUGCUUUCUCUUCCCGUCGCACUUGCGGCAUAUGCAAGUUCCCAGGCCAGGGACUGAACCCAAGCCGGAGCUGUGACCCAUGCUCCAGCUGUAGCAAUGCAGGAUGCUUAACCCACCGUACCAGGCUGGGGAAUGGAACCCGUGCCUCCACAGAGACAAGCAGGAUCACUGACCCACUGUGUCACAGCGGGAACUCCUAGGAGCCAUUAUCAUUCCAGGCUUCUCCUGGGGAUCAGGCCUCACUUACCAAGUCUCUGGAACUCAGCAGACACCUGCUUGUCAUGACUGGCACAACUGCCCAGAAACCAGAAAAAAAGAUGAGAUUGGGGUGAUCACUGGGAACUUUGUGGGGCCCCCAUUCAGAAAGGCUUUGACGCCCCAGAAGGGCCAUAUGAGAUUCCUCUGGUUCUUUCUUCCAAUGGAGCAAUUGAGACCCUGGAAGAAAGGCUCCUGAUGGGCCCCAGGGCAGAUUCUGUCUGUGACAGAACUAGCCUGGACUGCGGGGCCUCCUGCAGCACUAAUUUUGUCCAGCACUGCCCUGUACAUGGCAAUAUGCAGGUUAAAGAGAAUGUCACACCCAAAAUAUGAGGCAAAAGGCUUAUAAAUGGGCUGCUUUCAACGUUCAAAAAUCAACAGCAGCAAUGCUGUAUAAAUGAAAUAAUUAAAACCUGCAUUGGCAGCCACCCAACAAAGCAAAAGGAAAGCUUAUUCCAUCACCACCUCCAGCCUGGCAGCCACCAAGCACAGGCUGUGAGCAGCCACUGUCCAGAGUAACCCCUGACACCAUGAUGGCUGCUUUUCAUGGGAUGUUUUCCUUUCUCUCUCUCUCUCUCUCUCUCCCUCUCCCUCUCCCUCUCUCUCUCCCCCACCUGGCAUGUUCAUUCCUCCCCCCCUCCCAAAAUCACAAGGAAGUUAAAUGGCCAACUUCCUGGUUCACUCCAAGUUGAGACUGUCAAUUAAAAAGACUCCAGGAAAAAAAGAAAAAAAAAAAAGUCUAAUUUCGAAGAUUUGGUGUCAGCUCUGCCCGAAUAGUUCUUGGCCUUGGAAACCAGCACCAGGCAUCUAAAACGAAGUCCAACUCCCAAAGGGAGUCCAUCAGCGGGAAGGAUCGAAGAGACACAUGGACCGCACAUUCUCAAAGCACUUGAGCCCUGUUUCAUGGGAGAAUCAAACCAGUGCAGGCUGGUACCAGAUAUUAACAGGGCAACUUACAACGGUUAUACUAUCCAUGGGCCAUCCUAUCCAUCAAUAGAUCAAUAUGCAUUGAGCCGGCCCCAUGAAAGCACCGAGCCAGCCCUCCAAGGACUAGCCAGACCAUAAGCCAUGGCCUGAGCCCUAAGAACUUGCAUCCCAGCAUCCACUUAGCAAGAUGCCUUGCCACGUGCACGACACAGCUACUCAUUGCGGUGAGGUCAAAGAGAAAAAUCUCAGAGGGCCAAGGAUAUGGGAGAGCUGGGUCUGGAAUGCUGAGAAAGACAGAGGCCUGCAGAGAGGACCCCGGCUGGGCAUUUCUGGCAGGACAGGUGUGGGCAAAGGCCGCAAGGUGAGGACACAUCCUUCUGGGGGCACUUGCGAACUUGGUUGCAGCCCCGACAGUGAGGCUGCUCAACUCAACACCAUCCGCCGGGUAGGGAUGCUCCCGGCUGUCUACGAAGUGUGAUGUGUCCCUUCCCCAAAUGAACAAAAAUUAGCGCCCAAUAACACAUUUCUAUUUCGCUCAGAAGCGCUUACCAGGAGGUGGCAUUUCUUUACUCAAAAAGCAUAUGUUGGGAGUUUCUGUUGUGGCUCAACAGGUUACAAACCCGACUAGUAUCCAUGAGGAUGCGGGUUCAGUUCCUGGCCUCGCUCAGGCUUGUUUCUGAAAAAAAUGCCAUGAACAUCACUGCAGGAUUUCCCAGACUCAGACUCGGUUUCCUAGUCUCUCAUUUUUAAGAGAACAAAGCUUUAUCUUCUUUUCUGACUGUGAGUGGGCUUUUUUCAAUCAAUAUUCAGCCUAUAAGUUUUGUUCUGGGUGCCUACACUCACGCUCCCUGUUUAAUAAUUAGUCAUCUGGAACAGGGAUUGGCAAAGUUUCUGUCAAGGGCCCGAGAGUAAAUAUUUCCAGCUCUGUGGGCCGUGUGGUUUUCGUCACAGCUACCCAGCUCUGCCUGGGCAGGGCGAAGGCAGCCGUAAGCAAUGUGCAAACACGCAGGCAAGGUUCCGUUCCAAUAAAACUUUAUUUAUGAACACUGAAAUUUAGAUUUCAGAUCAUUUUCACAUGUCAGAAAAUGUUACAUUUUAAAAACCUUUUCAUGGGAAAAUGAUCCUGAGCUCAUGAGCUAUACAAAAAAGCUGGCUGGUUUUGGCCCAAGAGUUGCAGUUGGACAAUCCCUGGUCUAAAAUCAAAUACUGAAAGGACACCCUCGGUGAGUUCUUUCUUUUGAAAAGAAAUAUAAGAAUAAUAAGAGCGAACAUUUAUUGAGCACUUAUCCCGUGGGAAAACUCAACAUGGAAAGUUGUUUUUUGUUUUUUGGGGUUUUUUUUUUGGUCUUUUUGCCUUUUCUAGGGCUGCUCCCAUGGCAUAUGGAGGUUCCCAGGCUAGGGGUCAAAUCGGAGCUGUAGCUGCCGGCCUACACCACAGCCACAGCAACGCGGAAUCUGAGCCGAGUCUGGGACCUAUACCACAGCUCAUGGCAACGCCAGAUCCUUAACCCACUGAGCGAGGCCAGGAGGCGAACCCGCAACCUCGUGGUUCCUGGUGGGAUUCAUUAACCACUGAGCCAGGACGGGAACUCCCACUUUUUAUUCUUCUAUAGAGACACAGGGUAGGUAAAUGUGAUCCCUGUUUUGGUGAGUGGGGAAACGAGGGUUAUGAGAAAACAAUGGAUGCAUCGAGUUCACUGAGCAAGGAUUUGGACUCAAGAAAUGGGACUGCAGAGACACAAGGACGCAGGUGUUCAGGAGUUCCCUGGUGGUGCAGCCGGUUAAGGAUCUGGUACCAUCACUGCAGAGAGUUGGGUUGCUGCUGUGUCACAGGUUCGAUCUGCGGCCCAGGAACUUCCACAUGCCCCAGGUGGAGCCAAAAAAAAGGAUACACAUAUUCCACAUCCCUGGGCAACACUGUAUAUUAAGGAGAGGAUGAUGAGAAGAAGGCAUCUGGGCAGCCACCUGU